rnacentral:rRNA from 1 species
GACGAACGCUGGCGGCGUGCCUAAUACAUGCAAGUAGAACGCUGAAGAGAGGAGCUUGCUCUUCUUGGAAGAGUUGCGAACGGGUGAGUAACGCGUAGGUAACCUGCCUUGUAGCGGGGGAUAACUAUUGGAAACGAUAGCUAAUACCGCAUAACAAUGGGUGACCCAUGUCAUUCAUUUGAAAGGGGCAACUGCUCCACUACAAGAUGGACCUGCGUUGUAUUAGCUAGUAGGUGAGGUAACGGCUCACCUAGGCGACGAUACAUAGCCGACCUGAGAGGGUGAUCGGCCCCACUGGGACUGAGACACGGCCCAGACUCUUAUGGGAGGCGGUAGUUGGGAAACUUCGGCAAAGGGGGCAACCCUGACCGA